UAUGGCUCAAUGGCAAAUGACAAGUUUUAUUUUGUUUUGUCAGCGAAUUUAGCGGGCUUUUUACAAAAGUUUUAUUAUGUUAAUUUGUUUGUUAUACAAAGAUGGUAAUCGAAGUUUAAAAUGAUAAGGAUUCAAACAAGAAUUCAAGGUCCUUACAAAAGUACCUUGCGAGUGUAGAUUUUUUUUAGUUUACCUUCAAGAUUGAAAGGAUGGAGAAAAACAGAAAUACAACUGAUAAAGACAUGACAUUGAAAAAAAGCUACGAUGAGUUAUUAAAUUUAUUCUACCAACUUACUCCAGAACUCCGCUCCCAGAGAGUAACUCGGAGUGUAAGAAAGCUAAUGAACUAUUGGAAUAACUUUAUCAUAGUUGAGGAUUACCGGUGUAUGCCUCUCCUAGGCGAUGAAGAAGAGGUGCCUAACUGGGAGGUUCAUAUUGUUAAAUAUUCUGUAGUUUUUAUAUAGGAAUAAGAAAUUGGUGCCUAUUUUGGUUGUAUACAAUAACUGAAUUGAGAUAAUUUUAUAUACAUAUCAAAUAUUUCAGAACCGGCAGGAUUCGAAUCUGAAGCUUAGUAGGAUAUUUUUCCUUGAAGUAUAGGUGAAACACUAUCAUGAAAAUUAUAAAUAGUAUGUACAAUCGUUUAAAAGCGCUGAUUUGAAGUAUGGGCCUUUGGAAGUAGUUUCGAUAACUGUAACGUGUCGCUACUAGAUGGCAUUAACAGUAGCUUAGUAGUUAGUACCUACUGAAUAAAAAUACAAUAUCUGAAGUUUCGGCACUGGCACAGUUUACUACAGUUAUGGAACUUCUAACAAAACGUCGAAGCUUCGACAUCACUGGCAGCCGUGAAAUGUUAGUAUAUUUGACGCAGGUAGCCCUAAAAUAGCCCUAUUUUUCUUUGAUUUUACGUCACCAAAACCUAAAAUUGGAUAUGUCGAUUGAGGAUCAAACCGAGAGUUCCCUCACUCUGUCACGGACGGCAAGUGAACCGUGGCCUGGUCAAAAGUGCUUCGGGCGUAUUGCCCAAUUGCAAGACGCAGGUUCCAAUCCUGCCGGUUCUGCAAUUUUUGAUACGCAUUUCAAAUUAUUUAGAAAUUUCCUUGAAAAAUUAUAAAUAAAUUGAAAUGUCACUUCAGCACAGUAAAACAGUCCUAAACAGCCUUGCUUUAAAGCUCACAUUUGUCCAUUCAUCUAUAGCCAGCGCUUCAAGCGGAAAUGCUGCAAAAUUAAAACCGGUACUGAAUUUUCAGUUUUAAAUCAAGGACAUUUAGGUCCAUUUUACACUGGCAUUAUUUUGUUUUGAGGCUCGAAUUCUAUCAACGUUGCCAUACGCGCCGGUAGUAGGGCACCUCUGUCGUCGACAAAGUGCCGCUCGUUUGCAAGCACACUAAUGGAGAAGUUUCCAUUUUUUUUUUUUCACUGAAUAAUUAAAUAUAUUUUAAGAAAAGUAUGCUGAAGAUAUGAAAGAAUCAUUAAAAUAUCUCAACAAAAAAAAAACAUUGCGGAACUUUUAAACUUUCGCUUGUAGGAAUAGUUUCGUUUCACGCGGCGUGAUGUCACACUACUGACUGACUGACGCGGCUCGUAUUCGCUUCUAUUCGGCUAGGUAAAAUGACGUCACACUUGAAAGACCGCAAUCCUUGUGCGCUAAAAUACUUAACUUAAAUAAUUUCUCAGUCGUUUCUUUGAUGGAAUUCAUUUUUUUCACGGAUUUAUUAGAUUUGAUCUAUAAUUUAAUUCCAUUGCAUAAAAUAUAAUAUUAAGAACAUCAUGAAACUUCUCCAUCGGUAUACCUGCCAUUUAUUAAUUAUAAGAAUACUCAUAAGUAUAAAAAAGUACAAAUCGGUUUGUUUACAUCUCGUUAUUACUACUAUGCACUUGAUAUUACUAUAAUGUAGUUCCUAAACAUUCCAAGGUACAACCUUUGUAAUUAAAUAGAGAAGCUAAUAUGUUUUCACUCUCAAGUCCAUAGGUAAAGUCAGGGUACUUUUUUGUAGCUUUAAUACAAUUGCACAAAACUACUGUUUAAGAAAUGACUGAUAGUUAUUAAUUUCGGCAAUAUGAAUAUGUGGUAGGUCAGAACUAGAAUGAUGAAGUUAAAAUUUUUUCAUUCUGAGUUUUGACAUAACUAAGUAUAUCUUAACAUUGUUAA